rnacentral:siRNA from 1 species
ACAGACAGCUAGCAACGAGGGCA